AUGGAUCAAUCCACUGCAUUACUCGUCUACUCCAUAAGCAAAACCUUAUCUUUAGAGGCUCCAGAAGAUCUAACGAGGAAUCUCAUCCCAGCGUAUGACAUUGAUGAGCAUUCUAGGAGUGAAAGGCUUCCUAUAGUACUUGAGGCUUAUGCAAAACAGUACAGAAAAGAUUUCACGCUUUUUCUGGAGCUGAGAGCCAAAGAGUUGGUCUCAGGAGGCCGAAUGAUUGUUUCGCUGGUAGGGAGGUGUUCUGAUGCAAUCGCCACCAAAUUCUCUUAUAUAUUAGAAAUUGUAGCUCAGAUUCUAUGUGUCAUGGUCUCAGAGGGUGUGAUUGACAAGGAAAAGUUUGAUUCCUUUUAUGGGCUAUUGUAUGAACCUUCUAGCGAAGAGCUGAGGGAGAUCAUCCAAGAAGAGGGCUCCUUUUCAAUCAGGGAGAUGCGGGCGCAUGACCUAGAACUGAUAUGA
rnacentral:rRNA from 1 species